GAUGAACGCUGGCGGCGUGCCUAAUACAUGCAAGUCGAGCGAAUGGAUUAAGAGCUUGCUCUUAUGAAGUCAGCGGCGGACGGGUGAGUAACACGUGGGUAACCUGCCCAUAAGACUGGGAUAACUCCGGGAAACCGGGGCUAAUACCGGAUAACAUUUUGAACCGCAUGGUUCGAAAUUGAAAGGCGGCUUCGGCUGUCACUUAUGGAUGGACCCGCGUCGCAUUAGCUAGUUGGUGAGGUAACGGCUCACCAAGGCGACGAUCAGUAGCUGGUCUGAGAGGGUGAUCGGCCACACUGGGACUGAGACACGGCCCAGACUCCUACGGGAGGCAGCAGUAGGGAAUCUUCCGCAAUGGACGAAAGUCUGACGGAGCAACGCCGCGUGAGUGAUGAAGGCUUUCGGGUCGUAAAACUCUGUUGUUAGGGAAGAACAAGUGCUAGUUGAAUAAGCUGGCACCUUGACGGUACCUAACCAGAAAGCCACGGCUAACUACGUGCCAGCCGCCGCAGUAA
rnacentral:rRNA from 1 species